CAGAACUCUAUCUUCCCUAAAAAGAAUUACUCUUCUCUUUACUUUCUUUUACUUUCUUCCUAAUAAUCAGCAAAACCGUUAGAUGCACGAUGCGCUGCUCGAAUAGUUGAAAUUAGUUGAAAACGUAAUACCUAAACGUACCUGACUAACUAAAAAUUAUCGUUAGAAAUUUCUAGCGGGCAAAGCUGGGAACGAUUAAAUCGCAAAAUGCAUUGCCACGCGAAAAGAGAAUAUAACGGAUCAGCAAAUGCGAGAAUCAUUUCUCGCGGAGAGGAUAAGCGUUUUCCCGAUAUAUCGAGAGACCGGCGGCCGAGGAGCAGCCCAAGGAAAACAGAGCAACAGAAUCAUCGAGCAUAAAUCUACUAUCCACCGACGUAAUAUUCGCGAUUUAUUAACAUCGUUAAUUCGCUAUGCCAGCGAAGAUUUUCGGGUCAGAAAAUACGUGUGUAACGCUCUUAAUUCUAGAACAUGUUCCUGGAAACUGUGCGUGAUUUUAUCGGCGUUGUCGCGAAGGAGCGUUAUUUCGUCGCGUUUACGCGUUCCAUUUAACCGUCCAGAGUAUAUAAUUGAAAGCGAGUAUCGUUAUCCCGACGUCGAAAUGAAAAAUCGUGCUAUCUGCGACGAAGCUUGUCCCUCGUAACUACUUCUUUACGAUUUGUGCACGAAGAAAACGUGGUAGUUUACAAACAAACGGUAAAAUACGAAGAAAUAACAACGUUGUUGGACACACACGGCUACUUUUAUCGUAAUUAAUUCGAUAAGAAGGAAACGAAUGACCGCGACAUAAAUAAAUGCAAUUUUCUCUUUGGCGUCUGUCAUCGUGGAUCGCCCAUGCGCCUCUAUCGCGGAAAUUGAUUAGACACCGUGGUUUCUAUUCUGGGUGAAUACUGGUGAUAUUCCGAGAUAUUUGGCAUUGUAUCAGGUCAGUUGAAACGUCUACACCUUUCCGAUUGUACGUACGUUCGAUCGUAUAUCUGAAACUUCGCUGGUGGAUUUUUCAUAAAACGCAGGUGGUUGAAAUAUAUGUACAUUUCAAUUUGAAAUUUAAUUUACAUUUCAAUCUGAAAUUCUAUUUGCGUUUCAAGCCGUGUCUCUGGAAUCUAAUUCGCGCUUCGAAUCUGAAAAUUUAAUCUAGGAGAAAAGACGGCGAAGAAAUCGAUCGCUGAUAACGAUAAUUGCAUUCUUUACGAGGCUCGAAUAAAACAUCUACGGGGACAAUUUUCCACUGUUUCUGACAUUUAAUUUUAGAUAUUUCCAAAGCUAUUUGAUAUAAAGAACGUCGGAUACUUGGAAACAGGUCGUAGAGACGCGGCAAUAUUUAGACAAAAUGUUUAGAUAAAACACGAAAAAUUUAACAACGACGAAGUGAACGAAUUGCCGAAAGACGGCUAUGAGCAACGAUAAAUAUUACGUCGAGACUUAAUUAUAAGAAGAAAAACUUUCCGAUGAACCUAGUUGUAACUCUCAAUGCCAUAAAUAGAUUAUAGGCGUUUACACGCUUAAAGCUGCAAAAAUAUACAGAAUCGAGCAUCUAGUAUGCAGAAAUAUGUACAUACAAAGUAUCCAGUGUGAAGUCUUCGUUAUAAUAUCUAACGGUUGGAAGAAAGUCUCUGUUUAGCUUCCAACUACUUUAGUUUUGUACGUUCGAAAAUAUGAAUUUCAAGCAACAUUCACGGCAUAGCCAUAAGACCACCUACACGAAUUUUUUUUUAACCCCUUGUCUCAUAGUAUCGAGCGAGAAUCAUCAGACUGGUAUGGAUUAUGGAUCAAAUGGAACGGAGUCGGACUUGUAUCAAAGUUCAAUUUUAACUCUGGCUUUACUUCCAUAUUAUAAGACCGUAGAUUACUGAAUACAAAUCGUGUAUAAUAUUUCAACGUUUUGCCUCGGACAUGGCGUUAAAGCAGUCGCUAGUUAACGCAGAUGUAUAUAGUCGCGGAAAAGAUCAGAAGGCGAGGGGUUAAGAAGAGACUCGGUUCUCACUAUCGAAUAUUACAAAGUGUUGCAAUAGCGUUGCCUUGUGCGAUCGUGGGCGUAGAUUAAAUUAACGAUGAAUCAUAUUUUUAUGAAAUACGAAAAUUUCACCAUAACACACGGCGAUCGAACACGUCACGAUACGUUGAUAAGAAUCGCUACUAUUUCACGGAAGAAUCGUUCGUUUCGACAUGUUUCUCGGAAGACCGAGAAAGAGGAAAAAUGAGAAAGAGAGCGAGUAUAAUGCAAUAAAAUUUCGUAACGAGAAAUCAAAAUUAUCUUUCUACCCAGUGUUAAAAGCAGUAAGUUAUCGGCUGCUCCACAUAAUUAACUUAACAACGAGCAUAGCGUUGAGUUUCUCGAUUAAUCAUUAGCGCAAAGAGGGAGCGAAACAGGGACAGAGAAAGAGGCACGAUAUCUCGCGUAUUUAUAAUUAUAUUGAAAAAAAGAAGAAAGAAAAGUUACGCUGUCGGAUCUCUAAUCGAGACUCAGAUAUUACCGCUAUUUACCUUUCUUCUUUGACUGGUGCAAACAAAAGACUAUUUGUAUCGUACGGCGGGAUACUUAAAAGGCCGUGAAACGAUUGUACAACACGCGCGCCAAGUGCUAAUAAUUUUUCCGUCGUGCAACUAUUAUAAAAAACGUUUCUUUCGUUAGUCGAAACCGUGCUCCUCGUCCGUGCUUAUCGUACUGGCGAACCGUGUCUAAUUAACCAACAACCAGCUAUCGUCGCAUGAAUACCUUUUAACUACACAACCAACUGCUAGCUAUUUAACCGGCUAACGCUUCUAGUAGAGUAUAGUUGCACCUGCACGCUGCACGGUGCAUGGCAGAUAUUACCUGCGGUGAUUACGAGAUCACGGAACCUUCAAAAUUUUCUCCAAACGAGACAACGUUCGAUUACGUACUCACCUUAGCCAUAGUGAUAGUGUUGGUGGCGGCAUUGAGAUGAACGAAGACGGACAGGAGGAUGGCAGCUUGUAUCAUCGAGAUCAUCAUCGUGUCCUCGGCUGGUGGUACGUCCUCGAGGGUCGAAGGACCGAAGCCACUGGGCCGACACGCACGUAACACGCACGCCACUCACACGCACUCACUGUUCCUAACACAUGGCAUCCUCCUUUUCAUGAUCCCUCUCUCUCUCUCUCUCUCUCUUUCUCUCUCUCUAUCUCUCUCUCAAUCUCCUUUUCCUCUCGUUUGCCGCUUAUUUCUUCCCUCGAAAUGCUUCCACGAUUUCGGCUUCUCGUAACUUUCCUUCACGGUGAUUAAUUUCGACCCUCGAACUCCCUUUCAAAGAACCGCGACGGGGGUAAGUCGCAUGUAAACGAAGACCUCGACGAAAGGAAGCAAAUGUAUGUCCAGCCGUGGCAACUGCCGCCGAGCAACUGGCACUUGCUCGCCUGCUGGAGCAGCCUGUCUCGGCCCGAUGGCAGACUCCCCGUUGCAGUCCUGUGUGUUACGCUCCUCUUCGUCGCUAUCGGAGAAUUUCGAUGGUUAAAAAAGUGACGAGGACUUCGUGCCCGAGCUUCGUUACUCGCUCGCUAUUUCGAGGAAUCGCAGGAUCGCUUAUAUCCAUCGUUAUACGCUUUGCUUUAACCGAUGAUUAUAUCGUCUGAAAUUAUACUCGGUUAAGUUUCGAAAAGAUAAACUCCGUUUUAAAGAGACGUAUUAUUCGAAGGAUUAUUUCAGCGAGAUUUAUGAACAACAAACAAGUCUAAUGCUUUUAUAACGUAUCGUUUACGAUGCGUGGUAGAGCGGUGUCGCUUUGAUCGUUCGACCGUGACUUUUUGAUCGCUUUCGAUGAAAUAAUAUAAUUAUGUAGAAAGUUUUGAUAAUAUAUGUUGAAAAUUAUGCGAGAAAUUUUUUGAUCGACGGAUAUUUGCAUACAAAUUUUUAGCUGCUGCUUAAGUUUUUUAACAAAAUUUGAUUAAACGAAACGAUUAAAUCUCCGAUACUGCUUAUUCAAAAAAAUCAUUUAUGCAACAUUUAUUUUUAUCUCGCUUCGUUAUCGGGUCAUAAUCGCAUCAGCAGCUUUUCGUAUCGGUACCUGAUGUUCUUCUUGAUGCUGUUGCUCCGUCUGAUACAGAUAACAGCAAAAAUAAACUAAUUUCAUAUGAUAUCUCGUUUACGAUGUUACCAAAACAUCCGAUGUGCGCGUAUAAGAGCGGCAAAAGUCGAAACUACCUAUCUAUCCAUAGAUUAUCCGUUUAAAGAGAGUUUCGGUUUCCUUGGAAAAGCAAUUUCCCCCGUCAGAGGAACAACGUACCGUAACACGAUACAUCCGACCACGUUAUGCGUUCUCCUCGAUACGAAUAAAGCAAAUUCGGUGCUCAUUCCGCCUUCUUCGAUACAUACUUCUAGGCAUACGUGUAGUCCCGUGCGAUCGAAGAUUCAUGAGCCAUCGAGAAUUCGAAACCGAUUCAGAACUGGUUGUUUGGCCGAUGGAAUGUAGCUUUUAACAGCGACCGACCAGUUGGUAAAGGGGUGUGAGAGGGUGCAGGAGAAUCGUACGUUUAGAAAUGGACGCACACCUGUGACCAUCCAGGUUCCUCGUUAAAUUUCAAUCGGAGACCUGAUUUAUUCUUUUCGUGUCCGUAGUUCGCGCUUUCAUCGCCCUCCGACCGAUUGUCCUCUGCAGUUCCGCAAAGAACAUCUGGAAUUAGAAAACAAUGUUGCCGUAACCUUUCGAUGGAAUAAUAGAACGUAUUGUUCUUCUGUCCUGUUUUUGUCAACGGUAAAUCACUGCGAAAUGUUUAUGCAAUUUUACGUCUUUAUCGACAUAACUAAAUACGUAACACCUAAAUAGAAAUUUAUUUCAUCUUCUAACUGUUACAGGAAGUACCUUAACUCUCCUUUGCAUAUUUCUGCAUAUCGUACGCAUUCUCUACGCUUUUGCAUUUUUUAAUUUUCCAAAAAUGCAGAAAUAUCCGCGCUAUAGUUAUCAGAUCCCUCCUCGAUGCAACUCGAUACGUUAGAAUUUUUCUUAACGGUGAGUACUUGGUAUCGAUUUCGAUAAAUUCUACAAAUAAGAAAAAGAUACCGAUUAAUUGUCAAUUUAAGAGGAAACGCGAUAGCGAAUGAAGUAUAAAAUCGAUAAUUGGUUCUAUUUGAAAAUCCUAAUUUCGAAAUAUCUAUCGAAGAAGUUCUCGGAGACGAUCCGUUCGAUAAAUAUUUAAUGCCACGUAUGCCCGAUGACGAUUCCGUUAUGGAACCAACGAAUACGUAGUUUAUACAGUUAUCAUUUGUGAUUUAUAACGCAGAACGACGCGCAAAUACCAUAUUUCACUUUACGCUCGUAGACACUACAUAAAGUUAGAUAUAAGGUAGGUCGUGAGAUUAAGCUCCAAGUCAGAUUUAAACCUGGCCGUACGUUUGUACGUUCUAUCGAUAAUUCCUAACGUUGUCGCGUGCAAGCAAUAUCUAUCUUCGAGACACCUGCUCGAGACAAGAAAACACAAUGAUGGUUAAUCGGCCAGAACGAUCGAACUCUUCGAUCGAACUCGUUCCACUGGUAGGCGUAGCGAGCGAGAUAAUAACGCGCUAUUGCUCAGCUACCUACGUAUCCGUGGGUGUAAUUCACUCGUAGGGUUGGCUAUUAACCACCUUUAAACAACUUUACUAGCUGCUUCGUACUCGAUUUGUCUUCCUCUUCUUGACGAAUAACCGACAAGAAAAAUAAUCCUCGUCGUUUCGUCCUUUGUUCUUAAUUCUUAUUAGAAUCUCUUUUUAACUUCUUUCUAUCUAUCGUACACUGACAAUUUAUCUACUAUGACGGUUAUAACGAUGUAAAUACUAAUUUGAAAUAGAAAUGAUUGGAAUAAAUUAUGAUAAUGAAGUAGAGUUUGUUAUUAGGAAAGAUCAUAAAUAUUCAUAGACAGAAGCAAGUUUAGUCUGAGACAUCGGCAGAAAAAAGAAAGAAAGAUGCAGUUAGUCACUGAGUCCGUGGAUGCAUUUAAAGUAGCUGUUGGUAUUUGAAUGCGCUCGGUCCAGCGGAGAAAGUGGCGAGGAUCGUGAGUGCAAUUAUACCGCCGUGUCUGAGGUAACCAGGGAGACAAAAGUCAUUCUACAUUUACAAUCUGCUCUUCGGAUAUUGCUUGUCACUCGUAGUUCAAAUAAAUCACUCGGGCUUUUUAGACACGAUUGACUGUCAAUUUCGAAUAUGAAUAAUCGAGGACAAUAACUAUAAAUCUUUCUUUAAUUUAACUUUCUUUAACGAAUGAAAACUUCUCGAUAAGAUCUGUGUACUCGGAUUUAAAAUAUGCCGUUUACGAUCAGACAUCUCGAUUACUUUACAACGAAUUCUUGUACGUGUAAGUUUAAAAACAAUCCUAAAAAUCUCAAAACUUAAUUAUCAAAACUUAAUAUAAUCCAUAUGGAAGAAAAUGAAGAACGAAGCGUUCAACGAACGACAUUAAUCUUGCACGUUUGCGGGACUUUACGAUCUCUGACGGGAGACGUUCGACUUAAAGCAAUAGCCGGUUGUUAAAACAGUCCCAAGCGAUUUCAGAGGGAUUUUACUUUCCUCUGUGGAAUUCCAAUCGGUCGCGAAUUCUAAAAUCGGCGAAGUGAUUGCGUCCCUGCUCUUCGUGCACGAAGGGACUUAACAGGCUGCUCGUUGGCCAAGCCGCCGUCGGCUGGACAGCAACUCACUCGUCGUCCACUCCGGCACACCUGUUCACUCAGGUAUGCGAUCUUCCCUCUCGCUUUUUCUCCCUCCCUUUUUCCCAUCUUUCUUCCUCUGCCUCUUUCUUCUCGUUACUCGUCCCUUCUCUGCCAUCUCUUUUGUCUCUUUCUUGCUCCUCAUCACGACAACAGACCAACGACGGUGGUUUACCGUUGUCUCGCUGAUCCUGAACCCACCAAGAGCCGGUUCAUUCGCGACGUGCAAACUUCUGCUAGUAUAAGUCACCCUGCAAUUUUCUGCUCCGUAAUUAUCCUCCUCUUCUUCUCCUUCGCUCUCUUUCUUUCUCUUUCUUUCCACGCACAUGUGUAUAUAUCUUCGUGUCCGAUCGAUCUGUAAUUGAUUAGCCCUACCGGAUUCUUUCGGUCACUUUCGACGAAAUCGUAUUUUUCUAUCGUUAGAAGAUUGAAGUGGCUGCUGUAACAAGGAGGCAGCUCCGUUUUCCAAUAAUUCGAGUAAACCAACAAAAAAUCAAUUAAGAUGCGGAUCUCUUUUGUCUCCUUAUUGCUGCAAACCGUUUCUUAAAUUUGAUCUGAAAAUCAUGAAAGAAUCAUUACUAAUGUGUAUCUCAUCGUGACGUAGAACAUUCCAAGACCGCACCAGAAUCGUAGUUAUUUAUAGAUAUAGUUAAUUAUGAUCUUAGUUAUGAUACAUCGACUUUUAUUUAUUCGAUGAUAUUAGUGUUUCUCCUUAUCCGUGUAUCGUCAGCUGGAAAAAAAUGCGUCUUUUUUGUGACAUUUUCCCGUUCACGGUGACUUUACGGUAUCUCCAAGUUUCCAUUUAUUACCUCGCUGCGAGAAGCCCACGGCUGGUCCAUAGUCCUGUCAGUUUCAGAUUGUUUCGGACCGAUCGGAACAAGUGGUCGGUUCAGUCUAUAUGGGGGCUCUUCCCGAGAAGGGCUCUCGACCUGGUCGAGCAGAAGAACCAGACAAUAGGACGCCAACAUCCAAAGUCCCCUUGCCUGCACUUGUCUUUUUCGCUGUGUUACCCUCGUUUGUUAUAGCGUUUUUAUGCCUUGAAGAAUAACGACAAUAGAAAAGUCGUUCGUCGGUUUAUAAUUAGACUCUGUUAAUUCUUCUUUCGUUUUUACAUUUUCUCGUAUCCAUGACGGUGUUGAGAAAAUUAUUACAGUGUACACUAUCGCCAAUAAGUAUUUCUACAUGCUGGUAUAAUCCUAAGAAGUUGAUAUUUCUAUUACAUUUCCAAAAUUACGAUCGAAGAACGUGUUAAUUCUAUGUCAUCAAAUAUUUUGGUAAAUUUAAACUAAUAAAGAAAUUACCAUAUCAGCAUCGCAAGUGACUUUGCAACAAAUUGUGUAAUAGAUAACUGACAGUGUAUAAAACCUACAUCAACUCUUAGAACGCGACUAGAAACAUAUUUCAAUCGCUGUAACAUUGCAACGUUGUACAGACGCACCUAAAUUAAGUAUUUCCACAAGAUCGAUUUUUAUAUGCUUGUAAUUAUUGCUCUUUUAAUUAUACUAAUUAAAUAUUAACUAUAGAUUACAUAGAUAUCUACUAAUUAUGUAUAUAUAUGAUUAUAUUUUAUACAUUUGCAUUAAUUUGAAAGUGUUCUAAUAUGUACUUAUGGACGACAGUGUAUCCAUUAUAAUGUAAAAACGUGAAUAUAGAAGGUAGUUUAAUAGACAGGUUUUAAGGUGAAGCAGAGUGACGCUGGUUAUAGCACUGUGCGUCUUCUAUGCAAAUGUAAUUCUCCGUUGAACCUCUUCGAGUCUAAUUUGCCGUAGGUAUACAGAAAUGAAACGAGCCGCUGCGCUGCCUGCAAGCGGUCUUGGAGCUUCAACGCAUUUCAAGGACGGUGUUAGAUUUUUAGAGUGUCGCGCGAACGGAGCUUGGUGCGUUAACUAUCGACUUCAUUGCCUUCUUGCAACAUUUCGCUUGUAGGGAGUAUCGCUGAAUAUUUCUGGAGUAUCGUUUUUCUGUUAUAGCAUGUAAUACUUUUUAAAUUACAGCGAAUGUAUUUCAUCAAAUAUAUACGAUUAGAAAAGUUGAAAUUAUGUUACGUUGAAAUAUCGAUUGUUCGACUAAUAAAUAAAUUGUAAAUCAACUAUUAAUUAUUUCAAUAAAGUUUUUAUAUAAAAAGGAA